AUGUUACACGAAGAACCUUACCCGGGUUUGACAUGCAAGUGGUAGUGAAGCGAAAGCGGAACGACCCUUCGGGGAGCUUGCACAGGUGCUGCAUGGCUGUCGUCAGCUCGUGUCGUGAGAUGUCCGGUUAAGUCCGGUAACGAGCGCAACCCUCGCUGUAUGUUACAAGUGUCAUACGGGACCGCCGGUAUCAAGCCGGAGGAAGGUGGGGAUGACGUCAAGUCAGCAUGGCCUUUAUAUCCGGGGCUACACACACGCUACAAUGGCCAGUACAAUAGGUUGCGAAACCGCGAGGUGGAGCCAAUCCUUAAAGCUGGUCUCAGUUCAGAUCGCAGGCUGCAACUCGCCUGCGUGAAGUCGGAGUUGCUAGUAAACGCGCGUCAGCUAUAGUGCGUUGAAUACGUUCCCGGGGAUUGUACACACCGCCCGUCACGUCAUGGGAGCUGGCAACACCUGAAGCCGGUAGCCUAACCGCAAGGAGGGCGCCGUCUAAGGUGGGGUUGG
rnacentral:rRNA from 1 species